rnacentral:snRNA from 1 species
UUUCUUACCUGGCAGGGGAGAUGCCAUGAUCAUGAAGGUGGUUUUCUCAGGAUGAGGCUCACCCAUUGCACUGCGGGUGUGCUGACCCCUGCGAUUUCCCCAAAUGCGGGAAACUCAACUGCUACAAAUAUUAUAGUAAAAGCUUUUC